rnacentral:rRNA from 1 species
CGUUGAGCUAACCAAUACUAAUUGCCCGUGAGGCUUGACCAUAUAACACCCAAGCAAUUUGCUGACGCAGAUUGCGGUGGUGAAGACGAAACGAACCGAAAGUUCGCAAGACCACAAAUUCACAUAUCCGAAUUCGCUGGGCUGUCCAUCUGGACAUUCUGGCUACAGAAUUUCUUGACGACCAUAGAGCAUUGGAACCACCUGAUCCCAUCCCGAACUCAGCAGUGAAACGAUGCAUCGCCGAUGGUAGUGUGGGGUUUCCCCAUGUGAGAGUAGGUCAUCGUCAAGA